rnacentral:rRNA from 1 species
UACAGAGGUCCCAAGCGUUGUUCGGAUUCACUGGGCGUAAAGGGUGCGCAGGUGGUUUGGCAAGUUUGAUGUGAAAGCCCCGGGCUUAACCCGGGAAUGGCAUUGAAUACUGCUUGAACUGGAGGGUCGGAGGGGGGACUGGAAUACUUGGUGUAGCAGUGAAAUGCGUAGAUAUCAAGUGGAACACCAGUGGCGAAGGCGAGUCCCUGGACAUUUCCUGACACUGAGGCACGAAAGCUAGGGGAGCAAACAGG